rfam:Myotis lucifugus cont2.3398, whole genome shotgun sequence.
CGUGCAUUGGUGGGGUCCCUCAGCCUGGCCUGCACCCUCUCGCAAUUCGGGACCCCUCGAGGGAUGUAGGACUGCUGGUUUUGGCCCGAUCCCCGCAGGCCAGGCUGAGGGACCCCACCGGUGCACG